rnacentral:rRNA from 1 species
GGCUUAGAAGCAGCCAUCCUUUAAAGAAAGCGUAAUAGCUCACUAGUCGAGUCGGUCUGCGCGGAAGAUGUAACGGGGCUAAACUAGUCACCGAAGCUGCGGAUUUGAACUUAGGUUCAAGUGGUAGGGGAGCGUUCUGUAAGCCGUUGAAGGUGUGUUGUAAAGCAUGCUGGAGGUAUCAGAAGUGCGAAUGCUGACAUGAGUAACGAUAAGGGGAGUGAAAAACUCCCCCGCCGAAAGACCAAGGUUUCCUGUCCCAUGUUAAUCAGGGCAGGGUAAGUCGGCCCCUAAGGCGAGGCGGAAACGCGUAGUCGAUGGGAAACAGAUUAAUAUUUCUGUACUUCUAUAUAUUGCGAAGGAGGGACGGAGUAGGCUAGGUGAGCACGGCGUUGGUAGUCCGUGUGAAAGUAUGUAGGCGGUUGACUUAGGUAAAUCCGGGUCUUCAUUAACGCUGAGAUACGAGACGAGAUUCUACGGAAUUGAAGUCAUUGAUGCCAUGCUUCCAGGAAAAGCUUCUAAGCUUCAGAUAUAUAGGAACCGUACCCCAAACCGACACAGGUGGUUAGGUAGAGAAUACUAAGGCGCUUGAGAGAACUCGGGUGAAGGAACUAGGCAAAAUAGUACCGUAACUUCGGGAGAAGGUACGCUCUCUAAUGUGAAUGACUUGCUCAGUAAGCAUCGGAGAGUCGAAGUAACCAGGUGGCUGGAACUGUUUAUUAAAAACACAGCACUGUGCAAAAUCGAAAGAUGACGUAUACGGUGUGACGCCUGCCCGGUGCCGGAAGGUUAAUUGAUUCGGUUAGUCCUCGGACGAAGCUGAUGAUCGAAGCCCCGGUAAACGGCGGCCGUAACUAUAACGGUCCUAAGGUAGCGAAAUUCCUUGUCGGGUAAGUUCCGACCUGCACGAAUGGCGUAAUCAUGGCCACACUGUCUCCACCCGAGACUCAGUGAAAUUGAAUUUGCGGUUAAGAUGCCGUAUACCCGCGGCUAGACGGAAAGACCCCGUGAACCUUUACUAUAGCUUGACAGUGAACAUUGCUCCUACAUGUGUAGGAUAGGUGGGAGGCUUUGAAACCAUGUCGCUAGAUGUGGUGGAGCCAACCUUGAAAUACCACCCUUGUAUGCGUGAUGUUCUAACCUAGGGCCCUAAUCGGGCUUGGGGACACUGUCUGGUGGGUAGUUUGACUGGGGCGGUCUCCUCCUAAAGAGUAACGGAGGAGCACGAAGGUUGGCUAAGUACGGUCGGACAUCGUACGGUUAGUGCAAUGGCAUAAGCCAGCUUAACUGCGAGACAGACACGUCGAGCAGGUACGAAAGUAGGUCAUAGUGAUCCGGUGGUUCUGUAUGGAAGGGCCAUCGCUCAACGGAUAAAAGGUACUCCGGGGAUAACAGGCUGAUACCGCCCAAGAGUUCAUAUCGACGGCGGUGUUUGGCACCUCGAUGUCGGCUCAUCACAUCCUGGGGCUGAAG